rnacentral:rRNA from 1 species
GGGGAAUCUUGCGCAAUGGGCGAAAGCCUGACGCAGCAACGCCGCGUGCGGGAUGAAGGCCUUCGGGUUGUAAACCGCUUUCAGCAGGGACGAAAAUGACGGUACCUGCAGAAGAAGCUCCGGCUAACUACGUGCCAGCAGCCGCGGUAAUACGUAGGGAGCAAGCGUUGUCCGGAUUUAUUGGGCGUAAAGAGCUCGUAGGCGGUUCCGUAAGUCGAGUGUGAAAAAUCUGGGCUCAACCCAGUGAAGCACUCGAUACUGCGGUGACUAGAGUACGGUAGAGGAGUGUGGAAUUUGUGGUGUAGCGGUGAAAUGCGCAGAUAUCACAAGGAACACCAACGGCGAAGGCAGCACUCUGGGCCGGUACUGACGCUGAGGAGCGAAAGCGUGGGGAGCAAAC